rnacentral:rRNA from 1 species
GACGAACGCUGGCGGCGUGCUUAACACAUGCAAGUCGAACGGAAAGGCCCUGCUUUUGUGGGGUGCUCGAGUGGCGAACGGGUGAGUAACACGUGAGUAACCUGCCCUUGACUUUGGGAUAACUUCAGGAAACUGGGGCUAAUACCGGAUAGGAGCUCCUGCUGCAUGGUGGGGGUUGGAAAGUUUCGGCGGUUGGGGAUGGACUCGCGGCUUAUCAGCUUGUUGGUGGGGUAGUGGCUUACCAAGGCUUUGACGGGUAGCCGGCCUGAGAGGGUGACCGGCCACAUUGGGACUGAGAUAGGACCCAGACUCCUACGGGGGGCAGCAGUGGGGAAUAUUGCACAAUGGGCGGAAGCCUGAUGCAGCAACGCCGCGUGCGGGAUGACGGCCUUCGGGUUGUAACCCGCUUUCGCCUGUGACGAAGCGUGAGUGACGGUAAUGGGUAAAGAAGCACCGGCUAACUACGUG